rnacentral:rRNA from 1 species
GUGAGGAAUAUUGGACAAUGGAUGGAAAUCUGAUCCAGCCAUGCCGCGUGCAGGAAGACGGCCCUAUGGGUUGUAAACUGCUUUUAUACGGGAGCAAUAAGGUCUAUGCAUAGAUUGAUGAGAGUACCGUAUGAAUAAGCAUCGGCUAACUCCGUGCCAGCAGCCGCGGUAAUACGGAGGAUGCGAGCGUUAUCCGGAUUUAUUGGGUUUAAAGGGUGCGUAGGCGGCUUUGUAAGGCAGCGGUGAAAUUUUGCAGCUUAACUGUAAAAGCGCCGUUGAUACUGGGAAGCUAGGAUUUGGUUGCUGUGGGCGGAAUGUGUGGUGUAGCGGUGAAAUGCAUAGAGAUCACACAGAAUAUCGAUUGCGAAGGCAGCUCACAAAGCCAAUAUUGACGCUGAGGCACGAAAGUGUGGGGAUCAAACAGGAUUAGAAACCCGGGUAGUCC